CGGGCCUUUGAUUACUUAAGGAGGAAUGAGUCAGCAGCAGGUUCACUGAUGAUUUAACAAAAAUACACCACUUAGAAUGAAAGGCCAAACCUUCCCAGCGCUGAAUCUGAAGACUCUUAGGCCUGAAAUUGUGCCCAAGACCAAAGGAAAACCAAAUCUGGUUGUUUUGGGCCUCGUGUUCGACAGGUUAACUCAUCAGGCCCAACACUGAACUAAAAGCCUUCUGAUACUUUGGCUGCUUUAGACACACACAUACGAGGCUAAACUGGAGAUCAACAUACUGAAUUUAAUCACAUUAUCUACAAGCCGUGAAACGUUGCGUGUUAAAUUGAGCGUAAUGACAUGCUAAUUGAAGGAAAAACUUUAGCUAACUUUGACUCGUUAAAAAAACAGAAUAAACUAGCAUUAUAAAUACUUAAUCAUGACUGUAUGAAACAUUUUUCAAAAUCCAGCAAGUCCUAGUAAAAUCCAUGUAAACUACUAUGGCUGCCUGCCAGUUUUCAAAUUAUUGAGAACCAUACAUGGAAUAGCUAAUGCUAAAUGAUCAUUCACAUGAAUAUUGGGUUCAAGCUAAGGUCCUGAUUCAACAUAUUUUCACAAAAAAAGAGCUAACCAAAUAAACUGCAUCUUAUUAUUACAAAAAAAAUAAGUAAAACAUGACGUGCAUCUUCAUUUUCCAUUCAGAGGUUCAUGAGAGUACUUGAAUACAGCAAAUAGAAUAAAAUGAGCCCUGAAGGCAGCAGAAAUGAAAGCAAAAUAGAAAUCUAGCAAUAACAACACAGCUUCCACAACUAAACCAUGUUUCACCCUUGUUAGAACCCGGAAAUUUCAAAGAACUUCUUCUAAUCUUUCUUGUGAAAAUCAGGAAAAUUGUUUUUAGCUAAAUAAUGCAGAACUCUUACGGUCAUUUCUAGGGUCUCAGCUCUGAUUUUUGUGUGAAAGAAGAGGUCUAUAUAUAGCCCUUAAGAGUGCCAUGUGCUGCUGAAAAUAGAAUGAGAAUUAUUCCCUCACAAGGCAUCUUUCCUAACAUAAUUGGGACAGCUAGCAGCCUUUAAUUGGCUCCAGCAUUUGUGCUGGCAAAAAUUGGGCCAGCUUCCCCAGAUUCUAGAAGUUUCCUAAAAGAAAUCUGAUCUUCUAUUCUCAAAUUAACCUUCCAAGUUUUUUAUUGCUCAAUUAUCACCCUAAGAGUUCUUAACAAUUACUAACUAGGAAAACAACAUAAAAUAGAAAGCUAUGAGUAAAAUUAAAUCAAACAGUAAGUAAAGGGUGAAUACCAGGACCCUCAACACAAAUCAGAAAAGGUUCCAUUUUAUGAUGAACUCCCAAAAUCUAGAUUUAACGGCUAUUGGCAAAUUCGACUAUAAUCAAGAGAAGAAUGGACAUUGAUCAUCUAGUACUGAAAUCACAAAACAAAAAGGAAACCCUAAAAUCUAAAUCAUGCAAUUAGGACCACGGAUUGUAACAAAAAUAACAAAACAAGAAGAACGAAAAAUCAUGAUAACAUCUGACCUAGACAAAAUGGAAAUCUAAACUAAUCUAAAAAUCAAAUAAAUAGAAAAACCAAACCAUUCGAGCUAGUGAAUACUAAUGGCCAAUUUAAACAAGUAAAUAACCUAGAUGAAUAGACCAGCAGAUGGUAAAAAGAAAAAAGAAAGGAAAAAGAAAAUCAGAAAGCCAGCAACCCAAGCAAAAAUCAAAGAAGAAGAGGGGAGGCGCUGACUAACCGGAAAAAGCUUAGGGGAAUGACUUGAACCAACGAACGAGAUGGUGGAUACCUAGUAAUUUGGUCAAAGCGGUUGUGACCCUCGAAAACGAACCAAAACUCGUGUCAAUCAAGGGUUCUCAACGAGAACAAUUGGUUAACAUGAGCCUUGAGUCGAAUCAAACUCUAGAAGGCCAAAAAUUCGAACUCAGAAGAACUAGGGUUUUCCUUCACACUUUCAGAUCUGAAAUUAGGGGUUUUUUAGGGUGUUUUUUUUGGAAAAUGAUUGCAGUUUAUGUUUCUUGGGGUGAGGACUAUGGGGUGUGAUUUUGGGGUCGUUUUGGUGAUUUAGGGUUUUAGGGUUUCGAUCUUAGAUUUAAGAUUCGAAGGGUUUGAUAAGGAUUUGGGGAAAACGGUUAGGAUAUUCGGAAAGAGGAAGGAACGAGGGUUAUGUGGUGUUAAUUCGAGGGUGUUUGGAGCACCGGAACCGCCGUGAGGCGAUUUUCGGUGGUGGUUGGCGGCGGAGGCGGCAUGGGUUCUUGGGGCGGUUAGGGUUUGUUUCUUCAGCUGAUAGAGACGGAAU
rnacentral:lncRNA from 1 species